AGUAACAAAACAGCAGCUUGUACUGUCAGCCUGCCAGUGUCCCCAGAGGCCAUUCCUGGGGGAACACUCGGUAAGCUGACAGUACAAGCUGCUGUUUUGUUACU